rnacentral:misc_RNA from 1 species
GAUGAAGAACGUAGCGAAAUGCGAUACGUAAUGUGAAUUGCAGAAUUCAGUGAAUCAUCGAGUCUUUGAACGCACAUUGCGCCCCCUGGUAUUCCGGGGGGCAUGCCUGUCCGAGCGUCAUUUCAACCCUCAAGCUCUGCUUGGUGUUGGGCCCUGCCCGCUGCGGCCGGCCCUAAAGACAGUGGCGGUGCCGCCUGGCCCUGAGCGUAGUACAUCUCUCGCUCCAGUGCCCGGUGGUAGCCUGCCAGAACCCCAACUCUCGUGGUUGACCUCGGAUCAGGUAGGGAUACCCGCUGAACUUAAGCAUAUCAAUAAGCGGAGGA